UAUUCUGAAACUAGUACAUUUAGCAAAAGAAGCCUUCUUUUUGGUUAGAUUGAAUCCACAGUGGAAGUGAAAAUACAUAAACAAAGACCAAAUUAACAUUAAAAAAACCAAGAAAAAUAGAAGGAAGCUAGUUUUUGGGCAAGUUAUCUGAAAAGCCUACGCAAGAUAGUUUUUCUCUUUAGUUUUUGCUCAAAUAUUAUGCUUUAGGAUAACAGAAUGUCCAGGCUCUGAGAAAGAUGCUGGAUUCUCAUCCAUACAGCAUCUGGAAUAAUAAAGUCAUUUCUCUGGGAACUUUUUGUGACCCUUUCCUUGAAACUCAACACACCAAUUGCAAAAAUAUAAGCAUAACAACUACAAACCAGCUAAAGAGGAGUACUUUGUUUCCAAAACUUUAUUGACAGUUACAGCAUCUCGUUUCACUUUGGUGAUACAGCAGUCAUUGGUGUAAGACAGUAAGAGCAUCUGAUGGAAGAAAGUAAGUAUCCAGUCAGACGCUUCACCUGCCCUGUGUCACAGUUACAUUGAAAAUAAGAGCUUAAAGUUCUAAGAUUCGCUUGACAAAGAUUCAUGCCUCCUAGUCAAAGCAAGAAAAUGAAUAGAAAAUGCAAAAUACAACAUAAAAAAUAACCCAUGACCUCUCACAUACGUUAUGCCAAGUCUUAGAAACAAGUAAACAUUCUACAAUCAAACUUGUGAGAAAAAUAUAAUUGCCAAACAAUUGAUAUAAGGAAGUCCCUUUCUUAUGUAACAUGAGAUAUUCGAGCAGACAAUCAUAUAAAUCAAACAAAUAAUACAAAUGGAAGAAUCAACCAUCAUUCACGCCAUAAAGAAGGUAGAGCAAGCAGAAAAGACCCAUGGCAUAUGCUACUUCUCAACAGAGUGGCACAGCAGGUACUCGCCUGCACCUAUAAAGCUAUGGAAGUCAUGCAAGCAUAUAUGGAAAUAACCAAAAUAUAAAAAAGAUAAAACUUCAAAUGGAGUCAAUAAAUCAUUUGACAUUAAUGCCCACCUUAGUGCAAAUAGAUACCAGUAGAAGACAAAUUUUAGAAAUAACUUGGCGAAUACUUGCCCGUAUGGAAUACCCAGAGUGUAUAUGAAUGGCAUAACCAUCAAGUUCAAUUAAAAACAUGUCAAAAUUGAAACUAUUCAGCAGUCUAUUUGUAAUAAGUCUUCUACAAAUCGGGUAUAUACAGACACGAACAAAUUUCACUCUGGAACAAUAUGCUAUUGAUGAACUAACCACUAAGCAGUUUCCAUCUGUACAAAUAAUUGUGGAGGAAGGAUUAUUUACAUGCAUGAGAACAAAAGGAAGAAAGCAACUGAACAGGAGCAAAAAGGAGACCAAUAUGUUUCUAAAUAUUUAUGACCAUGACUAGAAAAAGACCUCCUUUUAAGUAGUUGGAGGCUCAUAAAACUGAACAAAACUCUCAGGUAACAGAGGUGAAAGAUCCGUCAACAACUCAUGUCUUCUCCCCCAGGACAAAGAUCUUGUUAGGAACUAUAAGGAAAAAAAUAUAUAUAUCAUAUUCCAAACAUUUAUGCCAAUGAAAACAGAAAGGGAGCACACUGGCUGGAUCACCCCUUUCAAGAGACAGAAUAUCGAACCCACAGACUUGAUAUAGGUAAGAAACCUCAAAGUAGACAUAAGAAAUAAAAACGGAUGACAGCCUACUUGAGAGAUAAGUACUACUCCUAAAAAUGGGUUUCUGCAGCAAGUUUACACAUAACAGAUACCAAUCGAUACAACACAAAACCUUAAUCAAAUUACAUAUGACAAAACUGAAAGGGCAAACAUAAAAUCUUCCUGGUUAAGGUGUACUAGUUACCUUCUUUUAGCAACAGUUGUUAAUGAGCUGUGCAUUUCCGUGAUAACAAGGCAUUAAGAAGAAAGGUUUAGGAAACAGAAUAUUAAGUAUUGGUGUCAUUAAUUCCAAAGUAUUAUCCCAAGUAGAUUGUCUCGUCCUCUUGUUGUAAUAAUAUCUCUAGAAAUUCAGAGGAAUCAUAUUCAACUAGUGUGAGAAACAAAAUGUAAAAAGCCUCCAAAAGAACACGAUAAACAUAAUGCUGUAGCUAAACCAAGAAGUUAAAAGUUCAAGACGGAUGCAUAUUGUUCUAAAAAAUGCUGAUUGUGUGCUCUACCACCAUAUUUUCGAUAAGAGUCCAGCAAGGGCUAACUUAUUGUGAGAAUUAGGUGACAUAUUGCAACUGUCAGCAACUAAUAACAUGCCAAAUGAAAUUGUGACAAGUGACACAAUGCAUUUAAAAUAAAGUGAAAUAUGUCACUGCAGAAUGUGCAUUAUACUAGUUUGUCCUUCUCCAUGGUUUUAAAGGCAUUAAUAGAAGAUUCAUCAAGGAAGAAAAAAGCAAUUCCAAGGGUAUCUACACUGUUUUUGUAAAUGCUGUUUCAAUUUACUUGAAAUCAUUCUAAAGCCAAAAAGAAUCUUUAGAAAUUCUCAAGGUACUCUAAAAAAUAGCAAUGGCCAAUAAAUUUACGAGGAUAUAAUUUGUGGAAGGAUUGAUUUUCAUCUAGUCAGGGAGAGUAAAACUAUCAGUAAGAUGAACAUGUCAUACUAGCAAUCAUGAACGUGGUAUGAAACCUCCUUUGACUUUGGUUAAGCAAAUUAAUACCAACCAAAAUAACCCUCAUUGGCGUUAUUAAGAAAACUAAUAUCUACCAAAAUGAAGCUAAAACAAUAUUAUCCCCAUCAUUAUUGUUUGGAAUUAAAAGAUCACCCAUUCGUUACACCUUUAGGAACUAUGUAGAGAACAAAGCAAGACUAAAUGAGGGAGCCAUAAAACCUUUCUUUCAUAGCCAAGGGCUAAAAAGCUACAGAGAAGGCACUAGAUAAUUUUAAGUCACAGGCAUUAACAGGGCUUACAAGAACCAUAAGGAUUAGUUUUCACACACUACCUGGGCACCAGAAAUUGACCAUUUCACCAAUGCAGUGGACUCAAAAAAUAUGUAUAAAACCAACAAAUAUUAUAUCAAGUUAGUGAUACAUGAAAUGGCAUAAUAAAACAGGCUCAAAGUCAAUGUAUGCAUAUUAGGAAGAAAACCACCCAUUAACCUUGCAGUGUUUGCACCAAAAGUUAUAUGAGACUACAUAACAUAUAUGUGAAUGCAAAUGGAGAAUUGCAAUAUAUAUGCGGCAGCUGCCACAGUAAUAACUUCAGCAAGGUCUAACCACAUAAAGAAAUAAAAUAGUAUCACGCACCAAUGUGAUUAUGAAGUGAGUAAAAAAAAUGCAGAAUAACAACUUUGUCUGGAUUAGACAUAAGAAAAAUAUGUAUCAUUGCCAUCUGUUCAGUACACAUUGCUUUUCAAUUGUAUCAAUGAGAAUGAAAGAAUUAAGAUAUCAUGUGCACCGCAUAGUUAUUGGAAAUAUGUACAGGAGGAAAAAGAAAAUUAUAUCUUAAUCACUCAGUUUUCUCACAUCGACAACCCACGAUGUAUGUUCUUUAUUCCUGGUCCUCUGCACUGCUAGCUAGCUCAUUUCUUAAUCUCGUCGGUAUGUGAAACUAUUCCAUGCAAAGCCUUAAAAAUUCACACCAUUACUAUGGAAACACCCAUCUUGGGAAUCAAUGCUACGAAAGAUUUUAAUUUUUCACUUUGUUAGUCCUCUCUAUUAUAAAUUGUUAUAGAUCAAUCGCAAGGCUGAACAAAAACAAUCAAAUCAAUUAGAAGUAGUCUUUCAACAUGACACUAACAAUGCAACAAAGAAUUCCAGUUCCUUCUUCUCUGUAUUGACACACUAGUACCCGUUUUAACACAAGGAUAUCUUAAAAAUAAUUCGCUACUCUACUUUCCUCAAUUUUUCCCAGCAGGGAAACAACAGAUUAACUAACAAGUUAAUUAAAAUAAAAAAAUGAAAAAGCAACCACCAGUUCUAUGACAAACCCACAUAAUUUGCCCAAAGAAAUCCCUGAAUAACACACAACAAUACAAUCAAAGCUCUUAAUUCAUUAUUUACAUGCGUGAGAACAAAAGGAAGAAAGCAACUGAACAGGAAGCAGAAAGGAGACCAAUUUUUUUCUAAUUAUUUAUGACCCAGAAUAGAAAAAGACCUCCUUAUAAGUAGUUGGAGGGUCAUAAAACUGAAUAAAAACUCUCAGGUAACGGAGGUGAAAGAUCCACUAACAACUCAUGUUUUCUUCCCAGGACAGAGAUCUUGUUAGGAACCAUAUGAAAAAAAAUCAUAUUCCCAACAUUUAUACCAAUGAAAACAGAAGGGGAGCACACAGGUAAGAUCACCCCUUUCAAGAGACAGUAUAUUGAACCCACAGACUUGACACAGGUAAGAAACCUCAAAGUAAACAGAAGAAGUGAAAAUGGAUGACCGCAUACUUGAGAAAUAAGUACUACUCCUAAAAAUGGGUGUCUGCAGCAAGUUUACAUAAUAUGUGACACAUGUAACACAAAACAGAUACAUAUUCAAUACAAAACAAAACCUUGAUCAAAUUACAUAUGACAAAACUGAAAGGGCAAACAUAAAAUCUUCCUGGGUAAGGUGUACUAUUUACCUUCUUUUAGCAACACUUGUUAAUGAGCUAUGCAUUACUGUAAUAACAAGGCAUUAAGAAGAAAGGUUUAGGAAACAGAAUAUUAAGUCGUGCAUCUCACCUCAACUGGUGUCAUUAAUUCCAAAGGAUUAUCCCAAGUAGAUUGUCUGGUCCUGUUGUUGUAAUAAUAUCUCUAGAAAUUCAGAGGAAUCAUAUUCAACUAGUGUGAGAAACAAAAUAUAGAACACCUCCUAAAGAACACGAUAAACAUAAUGUUGUAGCAAAACCAAGAAGUAAAGUUCAAGAGGGAUGCAAAUUGUUCUAAGAAAUGCUGAUCACGUACUCUGCCACCAUAUUUUCGAUAAGAGUCCAACAUGGACUAACUUAUUGUGAGAAUUAGGUGACAUAUUGCAACUGUCAACAACUAAUAACAUGCCAAAUGAAAUUGUGAUAAGUGACACAAAGCAUUUAAAAUAAUGUGAAAUAUGUCAUUGCAGAAUGUGCAUUAUAUUAUUUUGUCCUUCUCCAUAAAAAGCAAUUCCCAAGGGUAUCUGCACUGUUUUUGUAAAUGGUGUUUCAAUUCACUUGAAAUCAUUCUAAAGCCAAAAAGAAGCUUUAGAAAUUCUCAAGGUACUCUAAAAAAUAGCAAUAGCCAAUAAAUUUACGAGGAUAUAAUUUGUGGAAGGAUUGAUUUUCAUCUAGUCAGAGAGAAUAAAACUAUCAGCAAGAUGAACAUGUCUUAUUAGCAACCGUGAACUUGGUAUGAAACCUCCUUUGACUUUAUUUACGAAAAUUAAUACCAACCAAAAUAACCCUCUUUGGCAUUAUUAAGAAAAUUAAUAUCUACCAAAAUGAAGCUAAAACAAUAUUAUCAUGAAACACAUGCCUGAGAAUAGCCUGUCAUACAGUCAGCCUAUAACAACAAAACUGUUACAAAAGGCCUUUAAAAGCUCUGGCAAACAAUAUUUUUCAAUGCUGAUUCAAACAUGAUUUUUCCGUUUUGCCAAUACCCUUGAAACUUUAAAAAUAUGCAACUACAUCAGUCAAAUAAAGUACAAAUGGGUGUAUAGGACCAGUUGUAGCUAUCACAAUAACGUCCCUUCUGCCAUCAGCAGAAGUAUGCUCUAUCCAGUCAGUUUGGGCCACUUCUGCAGAGUUAGGCUGAACAGUUUUAGCCUCGAAUGAUGUAAGAUUUUAAAAUAGUUUAUAACCCUAUCAUUAUUGUUUGGAAUUGAAAGAUCACCCAUUCGUUACUCCCUUGGGAACUAUGUACAGAACAAAAGAAGACUAAAUGAAGGAGCCAUCAAACCUUUCAUUCAUAGGCAAGGGCUAAAAAGCUACAGAGAAGGUACUAGAUAAUUUUAAGUCACAGGCAUUAACAGGACUUACAAGAACCAUAAGAACUAGUUUUCAUACCUUCCUGAGCACCAUAAAUUGAUCAUUUCACCAAUGCAGUGGACUCAAAGAAUAUCUAUAAAACCAACAAAUAUUAUAUCAAGUUAGUGGUACACGAAAUGGCAUAAUAAAACAGGCUCAAAGUCAAUCUAUUGCAUAUUAGGAAGAAAACCGCUCAUUAAACUUGCAGUGUUUGCUCCAAAAGUAACAUGAGACUACAUAACAUUUAUGCGAAAGUAAAUGGCGAAUUGCAAUAUAUAUGCGGCAGCUGCCACAGUAAUAACUUCAACAAGGUCUAACCCCAUAAACAAAUAAAAUAGUAUCAGCACCAAUGUGAUUAUGAAGUGAGUAUAAAAAAAAAAUGCAGAAUAACAACAAACAACUUUAUACAGAUUAGACAUAAGAAAAAUAUGUAUCCUUGCCAUCUGUUCAGUACACAUAGCUUUGCAAUUGUAUCAAUGAGACAAUGAAAGAAUUAAGAUAUCAUGUGCACCGUAUGGUUAUUGGAAAUAUGUACAGGAGGAAAAAGAAAAUUAUAUCUUAAUCUCUCAGUUUUCUCACAUUGACAACCCAUGACGUAUGUUCUUUAUUCCUGGUCCUCUGCACUUCUAGCUCAUUUCUUAAUCCCGUGGUUCCAUGAUACUACUCUAUGCAAAGCCUUAAAAAUUCACACCAUUACUACGGAAACACCCAUCUUGGAAUCAAUGCUACGAAAGAUUUUAAUUUUUCACUUUGUUAGUCCUCUCUAUUAUAAAUUGUUAUACAUCAAUCCCAAGGCUAAACAAAAACAAUCAAAUCAAUUAGAAGAAGUCUUUCAACAUGACACAACAAUGCAACAAAGAAUUCCAGUUCCUUCUUCUCUGUAUUAAUACACUAAUACCAGUUUAACACGAGGAUAUAUAAAAAAUAAUUCAUUACUCUACUGUCCUCAAUUUUUACCAGCAGGUAAACAACAGAUUAAUUAAUAAGUUCAUUAAAAUUAAAAAAAUAAAAAAAUGAAAAGAAACCACCUGUUCUAUGACAAACAAACAUAAUUUGCCCAAAGAAAUCACUGUAUAACACAUAACAAUACAAUCAAAGCUCUUAAUUCAUUCUUCUCCUUAUCAAUGCACCGAUACCGUUUUACAUGUGGAUUCACAAAAGCAUCAUCACUCUCUACUCCCCACCAUUUUCAGCAAAUAAACCUCGAAUUAAUUGACACAUUCAUUGAUCCGAUAACAAUAAGAUUGGCAGAUUAGCAUAAAUUAACCUCAAACCUUCCCAACAGACUGACAAUAACUCAAAUCCCAAAAUGUGAGAAGCAGAACAGCAUUCGAGCUAAAAAUGUAUCAAAACAUAAAGAGGCUCAAAAACUCAUGCACCUAUGGAGGAAAAAUUGAAGAUUUGAAGUCCUAGUGACCUAAAUAACAAUGAUGGACUUCUAACUAAAAUUGGGCUCCAAAUAAAACUAAUUGAGUAAACUGCAACCUUAUGGAACUGAAAUAUUCAAAUGCAGAGCUGACAGAAUAGUUACAAAUAAUGAGAAUAUUAGUUCUUUUUAGUUAACGCAAAAAAAAAAAAUAUAUGCAAGCGAUAAGUGAACGUAAGUGUUCGAUAAUUUGCGUGAGAGAAGAAAUUUAGCUAGAAGAAUUCUUCAAAGACGAAAAAGAAAUCUUGAAAGACGAAAGAGAGAGGCAGACAUAUGAGUUACAAGUUGGGAUUUGGAUUCAAUGCUCAGCUGACUUUCCCAAUCUCAUCAAACUCUUGCCCUUCUUUUUCUUACGUUUCUUUCUUUGCGUUUUUGUUUUUUAAAUUUUAAAAUAUUUUGGGCAGCUAGUUUUUUUUUUUUUCUUACUUCCAAUCUCAUGAACACACGACCAUCACAAAACCUUGAUUUAUUUGGAGAAAAUAAAAGUUAAAAGUCUCCUAAUUAAAAAAAAAAAAAGAUUAGAGAAAUAGAGAAGAAAAAAUAAAAAUAAAUCAAGAUUUCACUAUAAAAAUCGAAUCCAGUAAAUCUAAAUUAGAUUCCUUGCAUAUAUAACAAAUUUAAUUUCCUCAUCAAUCGCUUCCAAUAAUUAAAACCAAAAAAAAAAAUAUUUAUAUUUCUUUAUAUACGCCAUUGUUGUUGAAACUUUGAGCUUGAAUAGAGUUGUUGUGAAUUUGUCAAAGAAAAUGAGGGGGAAAGGAAAACGAGAGAAAAAAAGACAAAAAGAAAUAAGUAAGAUGAAAAAAAAAAGUCUGUUAAUAAAGUGCAUUUGAGUUAAUAAUUUAAAAAAAAAAAUUGCCAUUGAGUUAAUUGCUGGCAGUUGAGGCUUGUUAAUAAAAAACAAAUUACAUUCAAUUAAGCAUGGGAU
rnacentral:lncRNA from 1 species